rnacentral:rRNA from 1 species
UGAGUAACACGUGGGCAAUCUGCCCUGCACUUCGGGAUAAGCCUGGGAAACUGGGUCUAAUACCGGAUAGGACCUUUAGGCGCAUGCCUUUUGGUGGAAAGCUUUUGCGGUGUGGGAUGGGCCCGCGGCCUAUCAGCUUGUUGGUGGGGUGAUGGCCUACCAAGGCGACGACGGGUAGCCGGCCUGAGAGGGUGUCCGGCCACACUGGGACUGAGAUACGGCCCAGACUCCUACGGGAGGCAGCAGUGGGGAAUAUUGCACAAUGGGCGCAAGCCUGAUGCAGCGACGCCGCGUGGGGGAUGACGGCCUUCGGGUUGUAAACCUCUUUCACCAUCGACGAAGGUCCGGGUUUUCUCGGAUUGACGGUAGGUGGAGAAGAAGCACCGGCCAACUACGUGCCAGCAGCCGCGGUAAUACGUAGGGUGCGAGCGUUGUCCGGAAUUACUGGGCGUAAAGAGCUCGUAGGUGGUUUGUCGCGUUGUUCGUGAAAUCUCACGGCUUAACUGUGAGCGUGCGGGCGAUACGGGCAGACUAGAGUACUGCAGGGGAGACUGGAAUUCCUGGUGUAGCGGUGGAAUGCGCAGAUAUCAGGAGGAACACCGGUGGCGAAGGCGGGUCUCUGGGCAGUAACUGACGCUGAGGAGCGAAAGCGUGGGGAGCGAACAGGAUUAGAUACCCUGGUAGUCCACGCCGUAAACGGUGGGUACUAGGUGUGGGUUUCCUUCCUUGGGAUCCGUGCCGUAGCUAACGCAUUAAGUACCCCGCCUGGGGAGUACGGGCCGCAAGGCUAAAACUCAAAAGGAAUUGACGGGGGGCCCGCACAA